GCCUGUGUUGUGUAGCGGUUUGAGCAUUGAUUGGGCGAUGACUCUGGAGACCAGGGUUCGAAUCCCUGCUGAGCCA